rnacentral:rRNA from 1 species
AUACGUAGGGAGCAAGCGUUGUCCGGAUUUACUGGGUGUAAAGGGCGCGCAGGCGGGUAGGAAAGUCGAAUGUGAAAUCUUAGGGCUCAACUCUAAGGCUGCAUUUGAAACUUCCUGUCUUGAGGGUAGGCGGAGAAAACGGAAUUCCAUGUGUAGCGGUGAAAUGCGUAGAUAUAUGGAAGAACACCAGUGGCGAAAGCGGUUUUCUAGCUUACACCUGACGCUGAGGCGCGAAAGCAAGGGGAGCAAACAGGAUUAGAAACCCCGGUAGUCC